rnacentral:rRNA from 1 species
AGGGCUUGACAUCACCUCGACAGCCUGGGAAACCAGGUCUUCUCCCUUUACGGGAGACGGGGUGAC